rnacentral:lncRNA from 1 species
AACAUUUAAUUAACAUCCUACUUAUCCUUCCUAAUCAUGAUGUGAAGUUGUCACUCGCUCUUACCUUCAAUAUACUUUAGCAGCAACCUUUGACUUUAUUUUGUUCAAUCUUCUUUCCUUGUUUUUCUCAAUGCCCUACUUGAUCCAAUCUUUAGAUGGUUGCUACCAAAAAUCAUGUUGCUUCAGCACCACCAAACCUUAUUAUAAUCUUUUACUUAAUUUUUCACCAA